AACGAACGCUGGCGGCGUGCCUAAUACAUGCAAGUCGAACGUGAAAGCCUUCGGGUGAGUAAAGUGGCGCACGGGUGAGUAACGCGUAAGUAAUCUGCCUUUUGGCCUGGGAUAACCACUAGAAAUGGUGGCUAAUACCGGAUAAGCCCACAACCCCGCUUAGGGGGUAGUGGGAAAAGGGUGCCUCUCCUUGGAAGCACUUACCAAUUGAGGAGCUUGCGUCCCAUUAGCUUGUUGGUGAGGUAACGGCCUACCAAGGCUGCGAUGGGUAGCUGGUCUGAGAGGAUGAUCAGCCACACUGGAACUGAGACACGGUCCAG
rnacentral:rRNA from 1 species